rnacentral:misc_RNA from 1 species
UUAAUGGAUGGGUUUUUCUUCACCUCAUAUGUGGAGAAAACAGCUGGUUGGAGGCGCUUGAUAUCAAAUGUUGGAAUGACAACAGUUGUCAAUGUCUGGUCCAGUUUUAUAUCUCCUAAUUUUUCCUUGACAAUUUGGUGUAAAUAUUGGCCAUCAUACUUGGGUCCUGCCAAAGACCUGACCAGAUUGGCCGCAGGAGCGAAGGGAGACCGGUCUUGGUGGAAGAUUUUUGGGCAGUGCUCGAGAUAGAAGUCUGUGAUGUCCUUGGCGGCAAACAAAGGUCGAUUUUGCUCAUUUGGUGCUGUAAGCAUAGCAGUGACGAGACCACCAGUGCUAGUUCCUG